UGCCACACUGAGCAGGGAGCCUUGUGC
rnacentral:piRNA from 1 species